rnacentral:rRNA from 1 species
UGAACGCUGGCGGCGUGCCUAAUGCAUGCAAGUCGAGCGAACAGACGAGGAGCUUGCUCCUCUGACGUUAGCGGCGGACGGGUGAGUAACACGUGGAUAACCUACCUAUAAGACUGGGAUAACUUCGGGAAACCGGAGCUAAUACCGGAUAAUAUAUUGAACCGCAUGGUUCAAUAGUGAAAGACGGUUUUGCUGUCACUUAUAGAUGGAUCCGCGCCGCAUUAGCUAGUUGGUAAGGUAACGGCUUACCAAGGCAACGAUGCGUAGCCGACCUGAGAGGGUGAUCGGCCACACUGGAACUGAGACACGGUCCAGACUCCUACGGGAGGCAGCAGUAGGGAAUCUUCCGCAAUGGGCGAAAGCCUGACGGAGCAACGCCGCGUGAGUGAUGAAGGUCUUCGGAUCGUAAAACUCUGUUAUUAGGGAAGAACAAAUGUGUAAGUAACUAUGCACGUCUUGGCGGUACCUAAUCAGAAAGCCACGGCUAACUACGUG